rnacentral:rRNA from 1 species
CAGUCGAGCGGUAGAGAGAAGCUUGCUUCUCUUGAGAGCGGCGGACGGGUGAGUAAUGCCUAGGAAUCUGCCUAGUGGUGGGGGAUAACGUUCGGAAACGGACGCUAAUACCGCAUACGUCCUACGGGAGAAAGCGGGGGACCUUCGGGCCUCGCGCCAUUAGAUGAGCCUAGGUCGGAUUAGCUAGUUGGUGAGGUAAAGGCUCACCAAGGCGACGAUCCGUAACUGGUCUGAGAGGAUGAUCAGUCACACUGGAACUGAGACACGGUCCAGACUCCUACGGGAGGCAGCAGUGGGGAAUAUUGGACAAUGGGCGAAAGCCUGAUCCAGCCAUGCCGCGUGUGUGAAGAAGGUCUUCGGAUUGUAAAGCACUUUAAGUUGGGAGGAAGGGUAGUAACUUAAUACGUUGCUACUUUGACGUUACCGACAGAAUAAGCACCGGCUAACUUCGUGCCAGCAGCCGCGGUAAUACGAAGGGUGCAAGCGUUAAUCGGAAUUACUGGGCGUAAAGCGCGCGUAGGUGGUUCAGUAAGUUGGAUGUGAAAUCCCCGGGCUCAACCUGGGAACUGCAUCCAAAACUGCUGAGCUAGAGUACGGUAGAGGGUGGUGGAAUUUCCUGUGUAGCGGUGAAAUGCGUAGAUAUAGGAAGGAACACCAGUGGCGAAGGCGACCACCUGGACUGAUACUGACACUGAGGUGCGA